rnacentral:miRNA from 14 species
UGCUUGCUCCGGUGGAUGCCGUGGUUCCCAUGCUGCCCUGAGGCAGAGCAAGGGCCAUCUCAUCCAGAUACUGUGGAGA